rnacentral:lncRNA from 1 species
UUUUUUUUUUUUUUAGAGAGAGAAUUUUUAAUAUUUAUUUUUUUAGUUUUCGGCGGACACAACAUCUUUGUUUGUAUGUGGUGCUGAGGAUCGAACCCGGGCCGCACGCAUGCCAGGCGAGCGCGCUACCGCUUGAGCCACAUCCCCAGCCCUCACUAAGUUUCUUUAGGCCUUACUAAGUUACUAAGGCUGACCGUGAACUUGCAGUCCUCCUGCCUCAGCCUACAGGUGUGUACCACUGCACCCAGCCCAGUGUAUUUCUUAAUGGUGUCUUUUGAAGAGUAAAGAUUUUUAAUUUUGAUAAGGUUAAGAUCACAAUUUUUUUCAUUUAUGAUUUGUAUUUCUGGUAUCACAGCUAGGGUAAUCUUUGGCUAACCCAAGGUAAUGAAGAUUUACCUUGGUACCUUCUGGAAGUUUUACAAUUGUCAUAGCUGUAGCUCUUGAAUUUAGGUUUAUGAUCUCUUUCAAUUUAAUUUUUGUGUAUGCAGUGAAAGAAGGUUCAGGAGUGUGUGUGUGUUUAUGAUCAUUCUAAUACCACUGGUUUUAAAAUCUAUACUUUCCAAUUAAAUUAUCUUGGCACUUUUGUCAAAAUCAGUUGACCACACACGUGGGUCAACUUCUGAACUCUGUUUUCCGUUUACCAACAUGCCUAUGUUAAUAUUAACUGACUUGGUUACUGAAACUCACAUGAACGAAUGAUGUCCAGAUUGACUUAACCUUUCCCACCCUCGCUCAUUGGACAGAGGCAGCAGCCACUGGGUGGGUCAUCAGGAAUCUAGGUGAGCAUCCCCUGCUUGCCAAACAUUGUCCAGCUGUGAAGACAUCUGUCAUUUCCUACAACUGUUCAUCUGCUUUGGGGGCCUGAUCUUAUGAUUUCUAUAUUCUAGGAGAGGUCAUUGCAAAAGGCAUUUUUCUUCCCUUUUGAGAGAAGGAAAUUAAGGCUAUUGCCUCAGCCAAGAAUUAACUUUAUUGUUUAUCUACUUGGUGGAAGUAGGAGACACAAAAUAAAAUCAUGGCAUUUGCAGGUAAAUGGGUGGCAUUGGAGAAGAUAAUGCUAAGUGAAGUUAGCCAAUCUCCAAAAAACAAAUGCAGAAUGUUUUCUCUGAUAUAAGGGAUGCUGAUUCAUAGUGGGGUAG